UCUACUACAGCCACUUAAAUAUCGAUAUGUAUGAAUAUGAUGCAUAUUUGAAAGAUAAGUAUGUAAAGUCCAAAAACAAGUGAAACGAGAAAAUAAUUAAUUUUUAUUAAAGAGAAGUAUGACUUAAAUUAUCAAUGAAAGCCAAUUAUCAUUAUAUAAAACUAGCAAGAGAAUUAAUGAGUGAAAAAGUGAUCAGCUUUCGUUUAAGAAAAAUAUAGACGUAACAGUGGCAAAUUACAUCGUGAAAGCGCUCGCAUAACACUCAAAAUAAAAUGCGUAUAUAUAAACGGAUGUUAAAUCAGAGCCAUGGAUCUGUCUAGUAGAGAAAGUAACUAGUUUCCUUUUCCUGAAUAUUUAUUUUAUAAGUCAAAGUAAAUACGAAAGUUGAUAUGCAA